rnacentral:rRNA from 1 species
AUGAGUUGCGGCGGCGGUGGCGCGGGGGCGGGGGACGGCGGGCUGGCCGAGUGGCAGCGCAUCUACGACCGGGUCGAGGAGCUCGCCGCCGGCCGCGCGCGGCUGGAGGCGCGCAACAGGACCCAGCACGAGUUCUGGGACGCCCGCGACAAGGCGGAGCUGAGCAGAAGCAGGUGGGAGGUGGCCUGCAGGAAGCUGCUCCCUUCCGAUGAUCCCAAGCUCGCCGAACUGCUUCAGAUUGAUUUGGAGGAUUCAAGAACUUGUGAAGCUCUUUUGGACACUGAAAACUCAGAACUGCUGGUACAACUAAAGGAAGAUGGAACUUGUGUAGAGCUUAAUGAAAACACUGCAGAUCAUGAGCACACUUCUGGAGAUUUAGUAUCAGAGCUAAGAAAGUUAAAGCGAACCUAUGAGACCAUAUACUGGAACAAGGAUAAGGAAGCCACUGAAGCAGUGCAAAAGCUUCAACAGAAGAUAGAGGAGCUGCAAGUGGCAGCCUGUAAGAAGGAUGAUGAGAUUGGAAUAGUGCAAGCAGAAGCUUCUACUUGUAUAAAUAAGUGA